GCCGAACGCUGGCGGCGUGCCUAACACAUGCAAGUCGAGCGAGAGACUUCGGUCCCUACCGGCGGACGGGUGAGUAACACGUGGGCAACCUGCCUCAACGAGGCGGAUAGCCCCCCGAACGCGAGACUAAUACCGCAUAAAAUGUUUUGAACAACUGGCCGAAACAUUAAGGGAGUAAUCCGCUAUGCGAUGGCCCCGCGGCGCAUUAGCCCGUUGGAGAGGUAACGGCUCACCAAGGCGACGAUGCGUAGCCGACCUGGGAGGGUGAUCGGCCACAUUGGAACUGAGAUACGGUCCAGACUCCUACGGGAAGCAGCAGUGGGGAAUAUUGCACAAUGGGCGAAAGCCUGAUGCAGCAACGCCGCGUGAGUGAUGAAGGCCUUCGGGUUGUAAAGCUCUGUCUUUGGGGACGAUAAUGACGGUACCCAAGGAGGAAGCCACGGCUAACUACGUGCCAGCAGCCGCCGUAAAAC
rnacentral:rRNA from 1 species